AACGAACGCUGGCGGCAGGCCUAACACAUGCAAGUCGAACGCCGUAGCAAUACGGAGUGGCAGACGGGUGAGUAACGCGUGGGAACAUACCCCUCGGUUCGGAAUAACUUAGGGAAACUUGAGCUAAUACCGGAUACGUCCGAGGUUUUAACCGGCCUCGGAGAAAGAUUUAUCGCCGGAGGAUUGGCCCGCGUCUGAUUAGCUUGUUGGUGAGGUAAUGGCUCACCAAGGCGACGAUCAGUAGCUGGUCUGAGAGGAUGAUCAGCCACAUUGGGACUGAGACACUGCCCAAACUCCUACGGGAGGCAGCAGUGGGGAAUAUUGGCAAUGGGCGAAAGCCUGAUCCAGCCAUGCCGCGUGAGUGAUG
rnacentral:rRNA from 1 species